rnacentral:tRNA from 1 species
UGGGGAUUGGUGAAAUGGUAUCACGCUUGACUCUGAAUCAAGUAUUGGAGGUUCGAAUCCUCCAUCCCCAGCCA